rnacentral:rRNA from 1 species
AAUCAACGCUGGCGGCGUGCCUCAGACAUGCAAGUCGAACGAUUAAAGCUCUCUUCGGAGAGUGUAUAGAGUGGCGCACGGGUGAGUAACACGUAAGUAAUCUACCCUCGAGUGGGGAAUAACGUCCGGAAACGGACGCUAAUACCGCAUAAUGCAGCGGCACCGCAAGGUGACAGUUGUUAAAGGAGAAAUUCGCUUGAGGAGGAGCUUGCGGCAGAUUAGCUUGUUGGUAAGGUAACGGCUUACCAAGGCUACGAUCUGUAACCGGUCUUAGAGGACGGUCGGUCACACUGACACUGAAUAACGGGUCAGACUCCUACGGGAGGCAGCAGUCGGGAAUUUUGGGCAAUGGGCGAAAGCCUGACCCAGCAACGCCGCGUGAAGGAUGAAGUAUUUCAGUAUGUAAACUUCGAAAGAAUAGGAAGAAUAAAU